GGAUGCGGAUAAAUUCUCACGUCUUUUCUCAUCCAUUCUAGCCAGAUCUAUUCUGAUUGGCUAAUAGCCCUUUCCCAUUAGACCAAUCCUGGCCACUCACGGUCCCCAUAGCAACCUGUAAACUCAACAUUGAUCAGUUAUUUUGUGCUGAUCGCAGGGUUGUCGAGAAAGUGUCCUUUCCUUUAAGCCAUCUUGGCGCCCUCCCCUCUGAGCUGCUCCAGAUGAUCAACCCCCGGACAAGUAAGAGUGGCCGGAUAUACAGUCCAGGUGUGCUUCUCGGUAACUGGUUUGAAGAUGUGUGCUUAGAAGAGGAAUCAUUGAAAGAUUUUUUAUAUAAAAGAGAAAAUGGGGAACUGCUAAUCCAGAAAUCACGAAGACUGAAAGAUUCGCUUUACAAGAAGGAGCAGCUUUCCAUUUCAAAAGAUGGGUAUAUUCAUUUUGGAGACACGGUUCUAUUUCUGAACCUCAACAUCGUCAGGCUCCCAGAGGAAAAAGCUCUCAUUAUGGGUGGAAAUCUGUCCUUGGCUGUGAAUCCCGAUAUAUCGACUCUGUACACUGGUGAUAAUUUGUCAGCUCCAUGUGACUUGAGUGCAAUCGAACACGUGAACCCCAUUGGGCGGAAUGCAUUUCGGAUUUUAAGCCUCGAAGGAGAAGCCAUGGGGGAACCUGUUAGAUUUGGGCAGAAUUUUGGCCUAGGAACAGCUGGUGGAUUUCAGGAUAAAAUGCUGUUUAUGUCCAGCGACCACAAAUCGUUUCAGAAUAUGGCCAAGAAAUCUUCUCUCCAGCCUGUCUUCAUGACAGAUGAACUUUCCUACCUGUGUUCCUGGCAAAUUAUCUUCUUGGAUCCACAGUUACGCAUGGAAUAUGAAGGUUUGCCAAUCCCUGCAAAUACAAAAGUUGUCAUCGUUCACACCCAUACAAAUCAGGCACUCGCAGUUCCCAGGACCUUCUGGAUAAGGACAUAUUUUGGGAAAGAAUGCGAAAUCAACUGCCACACCUAUCUGGAUUCCCACAAAGCUGAAGAGAGCAAGAACCACUGGUUAAUAGUCACGGGGAAUCCUAGCGAUGAUUCGACGACCAUGUUUAAUAGGCCAAAGCCUCCGUCAGAGGAGACUAGAGCACAAAAUAGGGAAUGCCUAUGAAAAAUCCUUGGAAUGGACAGUUAAACUUCCGGCUUUCGUGAAAGAAAAACAGGAGAAGAAACUAACAGCAUGAUGAUGAUGAUGAUGAAGAAGAAGAGGAGGAGGAGGAGGAGAACGAAGGAGGGAUUAAAGCAGGAAAACAAAGCAGUUUAGAAAGACAAAUGUUUGGAGGAAUAUUCCAGGACAGAAUUCAUGGAAACAGAAGAACCCUACCCAUCCCCCUUUUACUCAUGUCAAUCAUCUGCCUUGCUGUCAAAAAAAAAAAAAAGAGGAAAAGAUGUGGAACUCCCUGCCUCAGGAAAGCAGCUGAACCAUUCUCCACUCAUUCCUUUCUUAGGAAGGCUUUCGUUCUACUUGUGGACUUCAACUCCCAGAAUUCCUCAGCCAGGUCUCCAAACUUGGCCACUUUUAAGACUUGUACACUUCAACUCCCAGAAUUCCCUAGCCAGCAUGGCUGGCUGAGGGAUUCUGGAAGUUGAAGUCCACAAGUCUUAAAGUGGCCAAGUUUGGAGACCACUGUUCUAUAGGCCAAGGCCAUUGUGAUGGCACGUGACCUGCUCCAACCACAAUCUUCUUUUCUGUAAUAUUUUUUAUUUCGGUUUUGUCUCCCCCCUUUUUUAACUGUUUUACAUUUCCCCUGGAAUUUUGUCAGCUCUCCUGGGCGGUUGUGUUGUCAGCCCUGGAAGGACUGGAUAGAAAUUUUUUCAGAUAAAAAUUCCAGAAACAUGCCUCAAGGAACAUACCUGAAAGAAGUCUGUGGCUGUCUAUGCUCUCUGUCUCUGAGAUCUUCUAAAGCCAACAUUUCCGUCUUGGACCGAAAAACCCACAAGUGGCCAAGGAGUCUGGAGUGGGGGAAGCGAGAAGCUGUUGGAGGAAAGCUUCUCUCAGUCUUUUCUGAACUUGGAGGCCUCUUCCGUAAAUGAUUCAUUCAAAAAUAAAAAAACCUGGAAAGCA